ACCUGAAGAGUUCCGAAGACGAAGAGGGUGAUUCCAAUGUUGCGAUGAGUGUUGUAUUGAACAGCGAGGGAUUCGCCGCCGAGUUUUAUACCGGUGGCCCAACCGGCGACACCGACGGCGUAGGCGGAGGCUUGACAAGCGACAUGGAGGUAAAACCAAGCUGGAUCUGCUCCUUUGAAAACCUUCAAAUAUCUUGCGAAAAUUGCUCCCAUCGGCAUCAUAGUCCCCCAACUAACAGCGUUCAAAACUCCAUGAGUCUGAAAAAUCAAAACCCUUCAAUCAGAUGGUGAAAUUUCAGGAAAUCCUCAAAAGGGUUUCAUGAAUGGAAACAAUCAAACCGACCCAGAUCAGAAAAAA
rnacentral:misc_RNA from 1 species